rnacentral:rRNA from 1 species
CCUACGGGCGGCAGCAGUGGGGAAUAUUGGACAAUGGGGGCAACCCUGAUCCAGCCAUGCCGCGUGUGUGAAGAAGGCCCUCGGGUUGUAAAGCACUUUCAGUGAGGAAGAACGCCUGGUGGUUAAUACCCAUCAGGAAAGACAUCACUCACAGAAGAAGCACCGGCUAACUCCGUGCCAGCAGCCGCGGUAAUACGGAGGGUGCGAGCGUUAAUCGGAAUUACUGGGCGUAAAGCGCGCGUAGGUGGCUUGUAAGCCGGUUGUGAAAGCCCCGGGCUCAACCUGGGAACGGCAUCCGGAACUGUCAAGCUAGAGUGCAGGAGAGGAAGGUAGAAUUCCCGGUGUAGCGGUGAAAUGCGUAGAGAUCGGGAGGAAUACCAGUGGCGAAGGCGGCCUUCUGGACUGACACUGACACUGAGGUGCGAAAGCGUGGGUAGCAAACAGGAUUAGAUACCUGAGUAGUC